rnacentral:rRNA from 1 species
CAGCCUACGGGGCGCAGCAGUGGGGAAUAUUGCACAAUGGGGGAAACCCUGAUGCAGCAACGCCGCGUGAAGGAAGACGGUUUUCGGAUUGUAAACUUCUGUUCUUAGUGAAGAAGAAUGACGGUAGCUAAGGAGCAAGCCACGGCUAACUACGUGCCAGCAGCCGCGGUAAUACGUAGGUGGCAAGCGUUGUCCGGAAUUACUGGGUGUAAAGGGAGCGCAGGCGGGAAGCCAAGUCAGCUGUGAAAACUACGGGCUUAACUUGUAGACUGCAGUUGAGACUGGUUUUCUUGUGUGAAGUAGAG